ACAUGCAAGUCGAGCGGUAACAGAGAGGUGCUUGCACCUUUGCUGACGAGCGGCGGACGGGUGAGUAAUGCUUGGGAACAUGCCUUGAGGUGGGGGACAACAGUUGGAAACGACUGCUAAUACCGCAUAAUGUCUACGGACCAAAGGGGGCUUCGGCUCUCGCCUUUAGAUUGGCCCAAGUGGGAUUAGCUAGUUGGUGAGGUAAUGGCUCACCAAGGCGACGAUCCCUAGCUGGUUUGAGAGGAUGAUCAGCCACACUGGGACUGAGACACGGCCCAGACUCCUACGGGAGGCAGCAGUGGGGAAUAUUGCACAAUGGGCGCAAGCCUGAUGCAGCCAUGCCGCGUGUGUGAAGAAGGCCUUCGGGUUGUAAAGCACUUUCAGUCAGGAGGAAAGGUUAGUAGUUAAUACCUGCUAGCUGUGACGUUACUGACAGAAGAAGCACCGGCUAACUCCGUGCCAGCAGCCGCGGUAAUACGGAGGGUGCGAGCGUUAAUCGGAAUUACUGGGCGUAAAGCGUACGCAGGCGGUUUGUUAAGCGAGAUGUGAAAGCCCCGGGCUCAACCUGGGAACUGCAUUUCGAACUGGCAAACUAGAGUGUGAUAGAGGGUGGUAGAAUUUCAGGUGUAGCGGUGAAAUGCGUAGAGAUC
rnacentral:rRNA from 1 species